rnacentral:rRNA from 1 species
UCUUCGGCAUGGGCGAAAGCCUGACCGAGCAACGCCGCGUGAGCGAUGAAGGCCUUCGGGUCGUAAAGCUCUGUUGUUAGAGAAGAACAAGUACGAGAGUAACUGCUCGUACCUUGACGGUACCUAACCAGAAAGCCACGGCUAACUACGUGCCAGCAGCCGCGGUAAUACGUAGGUGGCAAGCGUUAUCCGGAAUUAUUGGGCGUAAAGCGCGCGCAGGCGGUCUCUUAAGUCUGAUGUGAAAGCCCACGGCUCAACCGUGGAGGGUCAUUGGAAACUGGGAGACUUGAGUGCAGGAGAGAAAAGUGGAAUUCCACGUGUAGCGGUGAAAUGCGUAGAGAUGUGGAGGAACACCAGUGGCGAAGGCGGCUUUUUGGCCUGUAACUGACGCUGAGGCGCGAAAGCGUGGGGAGCAAACAGGAUUAGAUACCCUGGUAGUCCACGCCGUAAACGAUGAGUGCUAGGUGUUGGGGGGUUCCACCCUCAGUGCUGAAGUUAACACAUUAAGCACUCCGCCUGGGGAGUACGACCGCAAGGUUGAAACUCAAAGGAAUUGACGGGGGCCCGCACAAGCAGUGGAGCAUGUGGUUUAAUUCGAAGCAACGCGAAGAACCUUACCAGGUCUUGACAUCCUUUGANCACUCUAGAGAUAGAGCUUUCCCCUUCGGGGGACAAAGUGACAGGUGGUGCAUGGUUGUCGUCAGCUCGUGUCGUGAGAUGUUGGGUUAAGUCCCGCAACGAGCGCAAA